CCUACGGGAGGCAGCAGUGGGGAAUAUUGCACAAUGGGGGAAACCCUGAUCCAGCCAUGCCGCGUGUGUGAAGAAGGCCCUCGGGUUGUAAAGCACUUUCAGCGAGGAAGAACGCCUAGCGGUUAAUACCCGCUAGGAAAGACAUCACUCGCAGAAGAAGCACCGGCUAACUCCGUGCCAGCAGCCGCGGUAAUACGGAGGGUGCAAGCGUUAAUCGGAAUUACUGGGCGUAAAGCGCGCGUAGGUGGCUUGAUAAGCCGGUUGUGAAAGCCCCGGGCUCAACCUGGGAACGGCAUCCGGAACUGUCAAGCUAGAGUGCAGGAGAGGAAGGUAGAAUUCCCGGUGUAGCGGUGAAAUGCGUAGAGAUCGGGAGGAAUACCAGUGGCGAAGGCGGCCUUCUGGACUGACACUGACACUGAGGUGCGAAAGCGUGGGUAGCAAACAGGAUUAGAUACCCUGGUAGUCCACGCCGUAAACGAUGUCGACCAGCCGUUGGGUGCCUAGCGCACUUUGUGGCGAAGUUAACGCGAUAAGUCGACCGCCUGGGGAGUACGGCCGCAAGGUUAAAACUCAAAUGAAUUGACGGA
rnacentral:rRNA from 1 species